UACGUAGGGUCCGAGCGUUAAUCGGAAUUACUGGGCGUAAAGCGUGCGCAGGCGGUGAGCUGUGUCCGAUGUGAAAGCCCCGGGCUUAACCUGGGAAUGGCAUUGGAAACUGGCUCGCUGGAGUGUGGCAGAGGGGGGUGGAAUUCCGCGUGUAGCAGUGAAAUGCGUAGAGAUGCGGAGGAACACCGAUGGCGAAGGCAGCCCCCUGGGCUAACACUGACGCUCAGGCACGAAAGCGUGGGGAGCAAACAGG
rnacentral:rRNA from 1 species